GGAUGUGAGGGUAAUCUGGAUGCGACAUUUGUCACCUUACUGAUCGCCAGGGCUGAUUCGGCUGAUCUAGCUGGCUAGGCGGAUGCCCCCUUCCUCCCUCAUUGCUCCAUGUGUGUCCCUCCUGAAGAUGCACACUCAGCUGAAGAGGACGCCCUUCCCCGAACAGGUAUACGAGUACCUGUGCUCCCCUGCUAGAGCCUCCAAACAAGCUCUCAGGUCUGUAUGAGAACCAAGACUCCAGACACACACCCAAAUGAGGCAAUGCAUGUGGCAGUCUGCCUUUCUUU
rnacentral:snRNA from 1 species